rnacentral:rRNA from 1 species
CCUACGGGAGGCAGCAGUGAGGAAUAUUGGUCAAUGGACGAGAGUCUGAACCAGCCAAGUAGCGUGAAGGAUGACUGCCCUAUGGGUUGUAAACUUCUUUUAUAAAGGAAUAAAACGAGGCACGUGUGCCUUUUUGCAUGUACUUUAUGAAUAAGGAACGGCUAACUCCGUGCCAGCCGCCGCGGUAAUACGGAGGAUCCGAGCGUUAUCCGGAUUUAUUGGGUUUAAAGGGAGCGUAGAUGGGUUGUUAAGUCAGUUGUGAAAGUUUGCGGCUCAACCGUAAAAUUGCAAUUGAUACUGGCAGUCUUGAGUGCAGUUGAGGUAGGCGGAAUGCGUGGUGUAGCGGUGAAAUGCUUAGAUAUCACGAAGAACCCCGAUUGCGAAGGCAGCUUACUAAACUGUGACUGACAUUGAUGCUCGAAAGUGUGGGUAUCAAACAGGAUUAGAUACCCCUGUAGUC